GCCGACAUGGUCCAGAGGUACGGACGUUCCCUUGGUAUGGGAAGGACCUUGGUUCAAUCCCAAGUGUUGGCACCA
rnacentral:tRNA from 1 species